AUUGAACGCUGGCGGCAGGCCUAACACAUGCAAGUCGAGCGGAUGAGAGGAGCUUGCUUCUCGAUUCAGCGGCGGACGGGUGAGUAAUGCCUAGGAAUCUGCCUGGUAGUGGGGGACAACGUUUCGAAAGGAACGCUAAUACCGCAUACGUCCUACGGGAGAAAGCAGGGGACCUUCGGGCCUUGCGCUAUCAGAUGAGCCUAGGUCGGAUUAGCUAGUUGGUGAGGUAAUGGCUCACCAAGGCGACGAUCCGUAACUGGUCUGAGAGGAUGAUCAGUCACACUGGGACUGAGACAAGGUCCAGACUCCUACGGGAGGCAGCAGUGGGGAAUAUUGGACAAUGGGCGAAAGCCUGAUCCAGCCAUGCCGCGUGUGUGAAGAAGGUCUUCGGAUUGUAAAGCACUUUAAGUCGGGAGGAAGGGCUGCAGGUUAAUACCUUGCAGUCUUGACGUUACCGACAGAAUAAGCACCGGCUAACUUCAAGGCUGCAAGGUAUUAAC
rnacentral:rRNA from 1 species